GAUAGACGUUCUUCCAAAGUGACUGAGAUUUGCUUGAAACAUAAUAAUAUGCAUUUUUUGUUUUUCAGCGUACAGAGUGUUUUCUUACACAAGUCUCAGCAAAAUUCCUGUAGUACGGAUAUGGUUCUUUCCAUUUCACAUGUGAGAAAUCUGAGCGCAGAAAAGCACUGCUGUGUUCUCAGGCCCCCUCUCACUCCUCUUGGGCUUGGAUUGAGCUCUCAAUAUGUAAAUGUGGAUAUUAUCUAUUAGAUAAUUUUAACCAGAAGCAUUUUUCCAAAAAGUGAUGGCCUGACUGCCUUGGACCUCGGGUGGACUUCUUAGACCAGGUAUGUUUGCCUUUGGUAGGAUGGGACAAGAAGCCAAG
rnacentral:lncRNA from 1 species